CCAUGCCAGAGUCAACUAAUGUGACGUAUUCAGGAAUCAGGGUAAACGUGGACAAAGAUAUUAAUACUGCAGGACCCAGUGACCUGAAUUAUGCAAAGAUCAACAUGAAGGACAAAAAGAAAAGCAAGGGCAAAGGUGCUGAUGCUGAAGCUGAUGCUUAACCCUGCAGAAGCAGAAGGAUAAAACACGUCUCUGAGUGCAGUGAUGAAAACAGACACCAGAAGAGAUGAACACCAGCGCUCGCUUUGCUUCAGAAACUGCUAAUGACAAUAAUACACUGAAUUAUCAGAGCUGCAGAUUAGCAACAGUGUUGGGAGUAAUGUGUUACAAAAGUAAUGUAUUACAGUAACGUAUUGCUUUUCCUGUAACGCAGUAG